rnacentral:tRNA from 2 species
UGCGGGAUACAUGGAGCGGUUCCAGGCAGGGCUCAUAACCCUUGAGACGCCAGUUCGAAUCUGGCUCCCGCAA